rnacentral:rRNA from 1 species
AUGAACGCUAGCUACAGGCUUAACACAUGCAAGUCGAGGGGCAGCAUGGUCUUAGCUUGCUAAGGCCGAUGGCGACCGGCGCACGGGUGAGUAACGCGUAUCCAACCUGCCUUACACUCUUGGACAGCCUUCUGAAAGGGAGAUUAAUACAAGAUGUUAUCAUGAGUAAGCAUUUUCGCAUGAUUAAAGGUUUACCGGUGUAAGAUGGGGAUGCGUUCCAUUAGAUAGUAGGCGGGGUAACGGCCCACCUAGUCUUCGAUGGAUAGGGGUUCUGAGAGGAAGGUCCCCCACAUUGGAACUGAGACACGGUCCAAACUCCUACGGGAGGCAGCAGUGAGGAAUAUUGGUCAAUGGACGAGAGUCUGAACCAGCCAAGUAGCGUGAAGGAUGAAGGUUCUAUGGAUUGUAAACUUCUUUUAUACGGGAAUAAACGGAUCCACGUGUGGAUUUUUGCAUGUACCGUAUGAAUAAGGAUCGGCUAACUCCGUGCCAGCAGCCGCGGUAAUACGGAGGAUCCGAGCGUUAUCCGGAUUUAUUGGGUUUAAAGGGAGCGUAGAUGGGUUGUUAAGUCAGUUGUGAAAGUUUGCGGCUCAACCGUAAAAUUGCAAUUGAUACUGGCAGUCUUGAGUACAGUUGAGGUAGGCGGAAUUCGUGGUGUAGCGGUGAAAUGCUUAGAUAUCACGAAGAACUCCGAUUGCGAAGGCAGCUUACUAACCUGUAACUGACAUUGAUGCUCGAAAGUGUGGGUAUCAAACAGGAUUAGAUACCCUGGUAGUCCACACGGUAAACGAUGAAUACUCGCUGUAGGCGAUAUACAGUCUGCGGCCAAGCGAAAGCAUUAAGUAUUCCACCUGGGGAGUACGCCGGCAACGGUGAAACUCAAAGGAAUUGACGGGGGCCCGCACAAGCGGAGGAACAUGUGGUUUAAUUCGAUGAUACGCGAGGAACCUUACCCGGGCUUAAAUUGCAACCGAAUAUGGCGGAAACGCUAUAGCUAGCAAUAGCGGUUGUGAAGGUGCUGCAUGGUUGUCGUCAGCUCGUGCCGUGAGGUGUCGGCUUAAGUGCCAUAACGAGCGCAACCCUUGCCGAUAGUUACUAACAGGUUAUGCUGAGGACUCUGUCGGGACUGCCAUCGUAAGAUGUGAGGAAGGUGGGGAUGACGUCAAAUCAGCACGGCCCUUACGUCCGGGGCUACACACGUGUUACAAUGGGGGGUACAGAGGGCUGCUACCACGCAAGUGGAUGCCAAUCCCAAAAACCUCUCUCAGUUCGGAUUGAAGUCUGCAACCCGACUUCAUGAAGCUGGAUUCGCUAGUAAUCGCGCAUCAGCCACGGCGCGGUGAAUACGUUCCCGGGCCUUGUACACACCGCCCGUCAAGCCAUGGGAGCCGGGGGUACCUGAAGUGCGUAACCGCAAGGAGCGCCCUAGGGUAAAACUGGUGACUGGGGCU